rnacentral:tRNA from 1 species
AAGGAUUUAAGUUAAAAAAAAUAAAACUAUUAACCUUCAAAGUUGAAAAUACAAAAUAUUCGUAAGCCUUA